AGCGGCGGACGGGUGAGUAACGCGUGGGUAACCUGCCUCGUACAGGGGGAUAACAGUUAGAAAUGACUGCUAAUACCGCAUGAGCGCACAGUACCGCAUGGUACGGUGUGAAAAACUCCGGUGGUAUGAGAUGGACCCGCGUCUGAUUAGGUAGUUGGUGGGGUAACGGCCUACCAAGCCGACGAUCAGUAGCCGACCUGAGAGGGUGACCGGCCACAUUGGGACUGAGACACGGCCCAA
rnacentral:rRNA from 1 species